rnacentral:misc_RNA from 1 species
GUUUUUCAGUUUCGCUACCCUCUUCAUCUUCCUAUCUAGAGUUUAAAAGCAUACUUUAAAGAUGAGAAUCAAUGUAGAUGUGAAUUUCAAGUGUCAGCCGAUUGCAAAGGUUUUCAGUCUCACUUACAAUCUCCUCUAAACAGAUCUGGUGCAUCUCACAUUCGAUUUCUUUUUAAGAUUCAUUACACUUUGAAAGUAGAACAUGCCUCUCGAAGUGGACUACGAGAAAGAAUUGGUGAGGACGUAGAAAAAGAUGAAGCAAAAUCUGAAAUCUAAAUCUCCCUCUACUACAACUUUGAAGAUAAAGCGCAAGAACUCCUACACGAUUAGGUAAUCCAUAUGUCUCUGGUUUUGUCUUUAAUUUGAUCAUCUCUACUACGUGAAGUUGUAGUUUAUUUGUAAGUUUUGAUUGACCUUGUUGGUAAGAUUUUCAUCUAUUCAUUCCUUUUAAAGAUACAUUGGAGGUAAUUUAUAAAAAAAGUAAUGUCCACAUCUUACCUCUAGCUUUAUGUUAUUCGGCUCUCCUCUUCUUUCCACAAUCAGAGAGGCUAAAAAGAAACAGAUAAAAAUAAUAAUAAAAAAUAAAUAAAAUAAAAAGAAACAGAUUACGUUUUGUUGCAGAUAUACAUUGGAUCUAUAAAGUUUUGAAAGUGAGAUGCAGUGUUGAAAAAUCAGAACCAGUGAAUGAAGAUGUGGAAGAAGAAGGUCAACAAUGGAGAAAGGGGAACUUGAAAAUCAAGCAUAGUCAAAAUAUACUCUUUGAAGAAACUACAAACGAGACUAGAGCGUGAGAAGGUUAAAAGAACAAACUAGAUAUAGCAGAAACUACAAACUAGAUAUCCAUAUAACACUUGUACAUGUUUGAACCGAAAUGUGUUAAAAAGAGUAUAUACUAAACGAGAU